GUGACCUCAAAUCAGGUAGGACUACCCGCUGAACUUAAGCAUAUCAAUAAGCGGAGGAAAAGAAACUAACAAGGAUUCCCCUAGUAACUGCGAGUGAAGCGGGAAAAGCUCAAAUUUAAAAUCUGGCGGUCUUAUGGCUGUCCGAGUUGUAAUCUAGAGAAGUGUUAUCCGCGCUGGACCGUGUACAAGUCUCCUGGAAUGGAGCAUCAUAGAGGGUGAGAAUCCCGUCUUUGACAUGGACUGCCAGGGCUUUGUGAUGCGCUCUCAAAGAGUCGAGUUGUUUGGGAAUGCAGCUCAAAAUGGGUGGUAAAUUCCAUCUAAAGCUAAAUAUUGGCGAGAGACCGAUAGCGAACAAGUACCGUGAGGGAAA
rnacentral:rRNA from 1 species